rnacentral:rRNA from 1 species
GAUGAACGCUGGCGGCGUGCCUAAUACAUGCAAGUCGAGCGAACGGACGAGAAGCUUGCUUCUCUGAUGUUAGCGGCGGACGGGUGAGUAACACGUGGAUAACCUACCUAUAAAACUGGGAUAACUUCGGGAAACCGGAGCUAAUACCGGAUAAUAUUUUGAACCGCAUGGUUCAAAAGUGAAAGACGGUCUUGCUGUCACUUAUAGAUGGAUCCGCGCUGCAUUAGCUAGUUGGUAAGGUAACGGCUUACCAAGGCAACGAUGCAUAGCCGACCUGAGAGGGUGAUCGGCCACACUGGAACUGAGACACGGUCCAGACUCCUACGGGAGGCAGCAGUAGGGAAUCUUCCGCAAUGGGCGAAAGCCUGACGGAGCAACGCCGCGUGAGUGAUGAAGGUCUUCGGAUCGUAAAACUCUUUUAGUAGGGAAGAACAUAUGUGUAAGUAACUGUGCACAUCUUGACGGUACCUAAUCAGAAAGCCACGGCUAACUACGUG